rnacentral:rRNA from 1 species
AUUGAACGCUGGCGGCAGGCCUAACACAUGCAAGUCGAGCGAGCGGCGGACGGGUGAGUAAUGUCUGGGAAACUGCCUGAUGGAGGGGGAUAACUACUGGAAACGGUAGCUAAUACCGCAUACCAUCAGAUUUGCCCAGAUGGGAUUAGCUAGUAGGUGGGGUAACGGCUCACCUAGGCGACGAUCCCGAGCGGGCCUGAGAGGAUGACCAGCCACACUGGAAGUUAGACCCGGUCCAUACUCCUACGGGAGGCAGCAGUGGGGAAUAUUGCACAAUGGGCGCAAGCCGGAUGCAGCCAUGCCGCGUGUGUGAAGAAGGCCUUCGGGUUGUAAAGCACUUUCAGCGGGGAGGCGUUACCCGCAGAAGAAGCACCGGCUAACUCCGUGCCAGCAGCCGCGGUAAUAC